GUUGCACCCGGCCUUCGGGCUGGGUGAGGAUUGAAAC
rfam:Deinococcus proteolyticus MRP plasmid pDEIPR01, complete sequence.